rnacentral:rRNA from 1 species
AUUGAACGCUGGCGGCAGGCCUAACACAUGCAAGUCGAGCGGAUGAAGGGAGCUUUCUCCUGGAUUCAGCGGCGGACGGGUGAGUAAUGCCUAGGAAUCUGCCUGGUAGUGGGGGAUAACGUCCGUAAACGGGCGCUAAUACCGCAUACGUCCUGAGGUAGAAAGUGGGGGAUCUUCGGACCUCACGCUAUCAGAUGAGCCUAGGUCGGAUUAGCUAGUUGGUGGGGUAAAGGCCUACCAAGGCGACGAUCCGUAACUGGUCUGAGAGGAUGAUCAGUCACACUGGAACUGAGACACGGUCCAGACUCCUACGGGAGGCAGCAGUAGGGAAUAUUGGGCAAUGGGCGAAAGCCUGAUGCAGCCAUGCCGCGUGAGUGAUGAAGGUCUUCGGAUCGUAAAACUCUUUUAGUUGGGAGGAACAGAAGUAAGUUAAUACAUUGCUGUCUUGACGUUACCAAAACAAUAAGCCCCGGCUAACUACGUG